rnacentral:rRNA from 1 species
AUUGAACGCUGGCGGCAUGCCUUACACAUGCAAGCCGAACGGCAGCACGGGAGCAAUCCUGGUGGCGAGUGGCGAACGGGUGAGUAAUGUAUCGGAACGUGCCCAGUCGUGGGGGAUAACGCAGCGAAAGCUGUGCUAAUACCGCAUACGAUCUAUGGAUGAAAGCGGGGGAUCGCAAGACCUCGCGCGAUUGGAGUGGCCGAUAUCGGAUUAGCUAGUUGGUGGGGUAAAAGCUUACCAAGGCGACGAUCUGUAGCUGGUCUGAGAGGACGACCAGCCACACUGGAACGGAGACACGGUCCCGACUCCUACGGGAGGCAGCAGUGGGGAAUUUUGGACAAUGGGCGCAAGCCUUAUCCAGCAAUGCCGCGUGCAGGAUGAAGGCCUUCGGGUUGUAAACUGCUUUUGUACGGAGCGAAAAGGCUCUCUCUAAUACAGGGGGCUCAUGACGGUACCGUAAGAAUAAGCACCGGCUAACUACGUGCCAGCCGCCGCAGUAA